rnacentral:lncRNA from 1 species
CAAAUCGCAGUGACGCGGCCGCAUGGCUCACGCGGCCGCGCGGAUUGGAAAAGCUCAAGCGAUGCGGUAGCGUGGACGACGCGAACGCGUGGCAUGGAAAAGCGCGAGUGACGCGUCCGCAUGGGUGACGCGAUCGCGUGACAUGUGCGAUCUGCAUAAUUUGCAGAAUUCGCUGGGGGCGAUUUUGGACCCUAUUUCGACCCAGUUUUCGG